AGGGAAUCUUCCACAAUGGGCGCAAGCCUGAUGGAGCAACACCGCGUGAGUGAAGAAGGGUUUCGGCUCGUAAAACUCUGUUGUUGGAGAAGAACGUGCGUAAGAGUAACUGUUUACGCAGUGACGGUAUCCAACCAGAAAGUCACGGCUAACUACGUGCCAGCAGCCGCGGUAAUACGUAGGUGGCAAGCGUUAUCCGGAUUUAUUGGGCGUAAAGCGAGCGCAGGCGGUUGCUUAGGUCUGAUGUGAAAGCCUUCGGCUUAACCGAAGAAGUGCAUCGGAAACCGGGCGACUUGAGUGCAGAAGAGGACAGUGGAACUCCAUGUGUAGCGGUGGAAUGCGUAGAUAUAUGGAAGAACACCAGUGGCGAAGGCGGCUGUCUGGUCUGCAACUGACGCUGAGGCUCGAAAGCAUGGGUAGCGAAC
rnacentral:rRNA from 1 species